CACUGAGGGAUAGCUCGGUUGGUAGAGCAUGAGACUCUUAAUCUCAGGGUCAAGGGUUCAAGUCCCAAGUUGGGUGA